GCCAAGGUGGCUUAGUGGUUAACGCACCUUCCUAGUGAGGAGGAGACCUGGGUUCGAUUCCCAUCCUUGGCA